GAUUGAAUAAAAGUCGUAACAAGGUCUCCGUUGGUGAACCAGCGGAGGGAUCAUUA
rnacentral:rRNA from 1 species